rnacentral:rRNA from 1 species
UCCUACGGGAGGCAGCAGUGAGGAAUAUUGCGCAAUGGGGGCAACCCUGACGCAGCAACGCCGCGUGUGGGAAGAAGGCUUUCGGGUUGUAAACCACUUUUGCCCGGGACGAAAGGGGGGACCUGAAUAAGGUUGCCCGAUGACGGUACCGGGAGAAUAAGCCACGGCUAACUCUGUGCCAGCAGCCGCGGUAAGACAGAGGUGGCAAGCGUUGUUCGGAGUUACUGGGCGUAAAGAGUCUGUAGGUGGUCUGUCAAGUCUUUGGUGAAAGGCCGUGGCUUAACCAUGGGAAUGCCAAAGAGACUGGCAGACUGGAGGCUGGGAGAGGGAAGCGGAAUUUCUGGUGUAGCGGUGAAAUGCGUAGAUAUCAGAAGGAAGGCCGGUGGCGAAGGCGGCUUCCUGGAACAGACCUGACACUGAGAGACGAAAGCGUGGGGAGCAAACAGGAUUAGAUACCCUGGUAGUCCACGCCCUAAACGAUGGGUACUAAGUGUGGGAGGGUUAAACCUCCCGUGCCGCAGCCAACGCAGUAAGUACCCCGCCUGGGGAGUACGCCGCAAGG